GCCCCCGUUGUCUAAUGGUUAUGACGUCAGACUUCUACUUUUGAGCUUAGUCAGCAUAUCUGGAGGUUGCGGGUUCGAAUCCCGCCGGGGGUU